rnacentral:rRNA from 1 species
AACGAACGCUGGCGGCAUGCCUAACACAUGCAAGUCGAACGAGACCUUCGGGUGUAGUGGCGCACGGGUGCGUAAAGCGUGGGAAGCUGCCCUUAGGUUCGGAAUAAUUCUCUGACAGGGGUGCUAAUAUAGGAUAAUGUAUUCGGACAAAAGAUUUAUCGCAUUUGGAUGGGCACGCGUUGGAUUAGCUAGUUGGUAGGGUAAGAGCCUACCAAGGCGACGAUCCAUAGCUGGGCUGAGAGGAUGGGCAGCCACACUGGGGCUGAGACGCGGCGCAGACUACUACAGGAGGCGGGAGUGGCUAAUAUUGGACAAUGGGCUGAGUCCUGAACCAGCUAUGCCUCGAGAGUCAUUAUGUCCUUAAAGAAGAAAAGCUCUUUUAUCCGGGAUGAUUAUGACGGUACCGAAAGAAUAAGCACCGGCUAACUCCGUG